rnacentral:lncRNA from 1 species
UACGAAUGUGUGCUUUGGGCUUUUAUUUUGGGUUUUCACAAGUUUUUGUUAUGGGUGUUCUUACCUUCACCACCACACCAUAUUUCCUCUACCUCCCUCAAAUUCUUUUUUAUUUCAAUUCUAUCUUUAGGUUAAAAUUUUUCUACUUUUAUCAUGUAUGAUUUUUUUAAUUAAUUUGAAAACUCUAUUUCUACUCAUUUUUGUUGCGCAGCUGCACUUCAC